AUUGAACGCUGGCGGCAGGCCUAACACAUGCAAGUCGAGCGGUUGAAGGGAGCUUUCUCCUGGAUUCUGCGUUGCGCGGGUGUGUAAUGCGUAUGAAUCUGCUUCGUAGUGGGGGAUAACGUCCGUAAACGGCCGUUAAUACCACCUCCUUCUAGUGGGUGACACUUGGGGUUCUUCUGACCUCUCGCUUUCCGUUACUCCUAGGUCGGAUUAGCUAGUUGGUGGGGUAUGGGCCUACCAAGGCGACGCUCCGUAACUGGUCUGAGAGGAUGAUCAGUCACACGGGAACGGAGACACGGUCAAGACUCCUACGGGAGGCAGAAGUGGGGAAUAUUGGAAAUGGGGCGAAAGCCUGAUCAAGACAUGCCGCGUGUGUGAAGAAGGUCUUCGGAUUUAAAAGCACGUUAAGUUGGGAGGAAGGGCAGUAAGUUAAAAACUUGCUGUUUUGACGGUACCAACAGAAUAAGCACCGGCUAACUUCGUG
rnacentral:rRNA from 1 species